GAGGGUAGGGGUUGCCAAGGGAGUAGCCUCUGUUCUUUUGUUACUUAGGUGUGAAAAGUUUUUCCUUUUGAUUUAGUUCUAGAAGUCAGUGAGAAUCUGCCUUAGGUUCCCUGCCUCCAGAUCCUAUUCUCCUGCCUCAGUUCUAUUUAAAUGUGUAAUGAGAAAAGCUGGGGAGUGGAGACAUAGAAGCUAACUGCUUUGCAACCUAAGGUGAAAGAGAAAGAAAGCUGGUCUACAGAUCUUUUUGGACUUGGAGCCAUUUAUCAGCCUUACAUGUGGAUGGCCCUUUCAUUUCAUGUAAUCACAGUGCAUAUAUAUAUGAUUGAUCAGAGCUGUCACAAAUUAUCACUAUGCUUUAUUUAUUCCAAAUCUAGUUCUCUAUUUAUGCAUCUAAGUGACAAAUACUAAACAUGGAAGAAAAAAAUCUGUGUUCAUUAAAUUGAAAUAUGAUUUGUUACAUACCUUGUGAAGUUUACUGGCCUUCAGCUUACGAGUCUAUUUUUCAUUGAACAAGGGCUUAAUUGUUAUAACGAACACCCUUUUAGCAUUAUCUUUUCUUUGAAAUAUGGCAGUUAAAAAUUUGAGUCCAAGCAAUUGUUUAUUUGUUAAAAAAAACAGGCUACCUUUGAGGCUUGCAUUAAAGAUGAUAAAAAUUAUCCAUCUAAAACCAUUUCAAUUUUAUGAAAAAUAAAAUACUGAGUGCAAUGUUUCAGCUUGAAAGCUCAGAUGAUCUUUAGGGGAAAUUAGUGAUGUUGCUAAUAGUGGUUUCAAUUUAUAAUACACUAGAAGGAGGCAGUCAAGGAGGUAAAAACAAGAUAAAUAAUCCUUAAAAUAGGAACAAUUAAAUAAAGAUCAGUUGUGACAAAAUUAUAGGAUAACAUACCUAUAAUUGGAAAGGCAACAUACCAGACUUGGAAAGGCAAUGUCUUUCUCUCUGUUAAUUAGAGACAAUCUAUAUUUUAUGAUAUGUAACCAUUUACCAGGCAAGGGUGUGUUUUCUGUUGACAUAAAAUGAAGGCAUUUCCAGACUUCUAUUCAACAGGGAAGGUGGCUAAGGUGAUAAUUUCUCAUUUCUCUAGGUAUAACUUUGAUAAUCUCCAGGCUCACCAUCAUUUUCUUUUCAAAAUUAAACUACAUAUAUAAACCAUGUGCAUCAAAGCUCAGGCUAGUGCAAUAUAUUUUUUCAUUUGGUACAGAUAUUAAA